GACGUAGGGCGCAAGCGUUGUCCGGAAUUAUUGGGCGUAAAGAGCUUGUAGGCGGUUUGUCGCGUCUGCUGUGAAAAUCCGGGGCUCAACCCCGGACUUGCAGUGGGUACGGGCAGACUGGAGUGUGGUAGGGGAGACUGGAAUUCCUGGUGUAGCGGUGGAAUGCGCAGAUAUCAGGAGGAACACCGAUGGCGAAGGCAGGUCUCUGGGCCACUACUGACGCUGAGAAGCGAAAGCAUGGGGAGCGAACAGG
rnacentral:rRNA from 1 species